rnacentral:lncRNA from 1 species
CUUCCCGCCCACAGCGCCUCCCCCCUACGCUGCCCGCCGGCUCCCUCGCUAGACGGGGUUGAAUGAACUCUUGGCCUGGCCCCUCCUCCCCAGACUGUACCCUUGGUGGUUCUUUCCUCCCCGCUCAGCUUUGCUUUCACUUUCUAGUCGUUCUCACUCUCCGUCCUGGGUUUCCUAACCCUGGAGCCCUGGCCCUUCCUCAAGACGGGGGCCACGCUGAAGCCCUGAGCUGCACCCAAUUAGUCAGGUUUUGAUGCCACGCCAGGCAACAAAUAUUUAUCCAAUGCAUUCUGUUCCAGGCUUCAAGCAAGCAGUGAUAGCGAGCCGGGCAAGGUUCCUGCACACACAGCUUCUAGAAGCCUGGUAGUGCAGAGACACAAUCCAACAAUUCGAAACAGGGCAUAAAGGCGCUGCGGCUUGAUCCACGGUGCUAGUAAGGUCAGCUGAGCCGGCCCGGGGCAGCCAGGGCGGGUUCCCUGGAGGGGGAGAAGUCCGCACAGAGGCCUGAAGGACUUGGAGUUGGCUGUUACUCAGAGGAAGAAAGGGAGGAGUCAUUCCAGGCCAGGGAACAGCGCAUGAGUGGUCCCAUUUUUGGUGAUGCUGGCUGGAGCCCACCGAGAGAGGAGGAGCCUGGGGCAAAGUUCCAGACUGGCCGCCCCCUACACACAGCUGGUGAGAAGAUGCGAAGAUGUGAAGGCCUACAGCACAGAAGCUGCUGGCAGAGAAUGACCGACCCCGCAAAGGACCAGAAAGGCCGCAGAAGGAGAGGGAUGUGGCCCAGGUGUGGCGUGCUGCUCAGAGGGCGGCUACUUCUGGGGGGCCACAUGGAGCCUGACCCGUCCUUGUCAUUCUUAAGCUGGUUUUUGGACCCGGUUGCUCUCCUCUGACCACGGCCCAGUCUGUUGGCUGUUAGAGUCCUGCUCAGAUCUGAACUCCACCCACCUGGGUGGGUCCUGCCGGCAUGCAAGGUGAGACAUCACCUCCCUCUUUCUAGAUGCCAUUUUCUGCCAAGCUGCCUCUCCCGUGGCUGCAUUGCCCUCAAUUGUACAACGAACUCUAAUAAAACUGAGAGAGAGCCUGAGAUUCUUUAAGAC